GCCUAUGCCAGAGCCACAGCAACACGGAAUCUAAGCCGCCUCUGCAACCUAAACAACAGAACACGGCAAUGCCGGAUCGUUAAUACACUGAGCAAGGGCAGGGACCGAACCCUCAACCUCAUGGUUCCUAGUCAGAUUCAUUAACCAAUGCGUAAAGAUGGGAACUCCCCCCAUUCUUCCCUUUUGGAAUGGUCAAGAGAUCUUGCUAGUGUCUUCUGGCCUGCCUUGUUUCUGUAGAGCAAUCCGCGGAUAGCCUUAGGUGGGUACCCAUAUCACUAGGUAACUCUUUGUUUCUCUCUCGCUGCCUUCAGCACCCUCUCUUUGUCUUUAACUUUCGCUGCUUUUGGGUUUGUUUUUUUCAGUGUGUCUUGGUGUGAGCCUGUUUGGGUUGGCCUGUGUGGGGGGCCCUGUGCACUUCCUGCCUCUUGAUGUAGUGUUCCUUUAGAUUUGGAAAGUUUUCAGGCAUCAUUGCGUCACAUACGUUUUGUUUCCUUCUCCAGGCUUGACUGUUAUCUUUGUUUCCAUUGCAGCUUGUUUGCCGUGCUCUGUCAGAUUUUGACUGGACAGCGUGCUGCCCCAGUUACACAUAGCUUGUUUGCCGUGCUCUGUCAGAUUUUGACUGGACAGCGUGCUGCCCCAGUUACACAUAGCUUGUUUGCCGUGCUCUGUCAGAUUUUGACUGGACAGCGUGCUGCCCCAGUUACACAUAGGUUUGUGCCUUCUUUUUCCUUAACUUAUCAUGCUUCCUCAGGCGUGACUAGACAGGGUGGCCAGUGCUCCCCAGCAGGAUCUCCUUGCUAAUCCAUUCCAAAGGCAAGAGUGUGUGUCUGUUAACCCUGAGUUCGCAAUGCAUCCCACUCCCUGGCCCUCCUCCUCCCUGGCAACCACAAGCCUAUUGUCCAAGUGGGUGAGUUUCGUUUCUCUGGAAAGGUUCACCUGUGCCGUACAUUAGAUUCCAGAUGCAG
rnacentral:lncRNA from 9 species